UACGAAGGGAGCUAGCGUUGUUCGGAAUCACUGGGCGUAAAGCGCACGUAGGCGGAUUUGUCAGUCAGGGGUGAAAUCCCGGGGCUCAACCUCGGAACUGCCUUUGAUACAGCAAGUCUUGAGUUCGAGAGAGGUGGGUGGAAUUCCUAGUGUAGAGGUGAAAUUCGUAGAUAUUAGGAAGAACACCAGUGGCGAAGGCGGCUCACUGGUCCGGUACUGACGCUGAGGCUCGAAAGCAUGGGGAGCAAACAGG
rnacentral:rRNA from 1 species